rnacentral:misc_RNA from 1 species
GAACGCACCUUGCGCCCUUUGGCUAUUCCGAAGGGCAUGCCUGUUUGAGUGUCAUAAAUAUCUCAACCGCACCCUAUGGUGGUGUGGCUUGGAUUUGGGGGUGGCAGGCUUAGUCUGCUCCCCUGAAAUACAUUGGCGGUGCCCGACGUGAUGUGAUAAAUUAUCCGCAUCUGUUUAUGAGCUGCCGUGUCGUGUUGGAGUUGAUAAACUUGACCUCAAAUCAGGUAGGACCACCCGCUGAACUUAAG